rnacentral:rRNA from 1 species
GUGGGGAAUAUUGGACAAUGGGCGAAAGCCUGAUCCAGCCAUGCCGCGUGUGUGAAGAAGGUCUUCGGAUUGUAAAGCACUUUAAGUUGGGAGGAAGGGCAUUAACCUAAUACGUUAGUGUUUUGACGUUACCGACAGAAUAAGCACCGGCUAACUUCGUGCCAGCAGCCGCGGUAAUACGAAGGGUGCAAGCGUUAAUCGGAAUUACUGGGCGUAAAGCGCGCGUAGGUGGUUCGUUAAGUUGGAUGUGAAAGCCCCGGGCUCAACCUGGGAACUGCAUCCAAAACUGGCGAGCUAGAGUACGGUAGAGGGUGGUGGAAUUUCCUGUGUAGCGGUGAAAUGCGUAGAUAUAGGAAGGAACACCAGUGGCGAAGGCGACUACCUGGACUGAUACUGACACUGAGGUGCGAAAGCGUGGGGAGCAAACAGGAUUAGAUACCCUAGUAGUCC